UUGCAAGCAAGCAAGCUCCACUAGCAGAACAGAACUGUUGGGUGUGGCUGAGGGGAAUCUAGAACACAGGCAGAGGAGGGAGAGUAUAAAUAUCAACUAACGCUCAGCACCAAAUGCAGAAGUGGUGAACGCUGCUUGGUCUACCAUCCUCUUGCUAUGUGGCAUUGGUCAGAAUUUAGUCAUGUGGACAUACCAAACUGCAAAUGAGGCUGGGAAAUGAAUUGUAGCUACAUGCCCAGGAGGAAGGAGACUUGGCCUGAAUUAUUUCUUGCAGAAGAUCCAAAAACCUUCUGUUGGGGUCUGAAUUGGGACUCCUUUCCUGUAGCAUCUUUCUGGUGACCACUGAAGGGACUAUAGUGCAGAAAACCCCCACCCAAAGGCUAACUUUCGAUGCAGAACCCAUGGAAACAGAAGGGAAACUAAAUGUUAGAAUCUGAUCAUGUGAAGCUUUGGUCACCAAAGAAAUGAAUGUAAGCAACCUAAGUUCUCACUGUUGCAUGAAUAUAUAAAGAAAA
rnacentral:lncRNA from 10 species